rnacentral:rRNA from 1 species
GACGAACGCUGGCGGCGUGCCUAAUACAUGCAAGUCGAGCGGAUGAAAGAGGAGCUUGCUCCUCUAGAUUCAGCGGCGGACGGGUGAGUAACACGUGGGCAACCUGCCCUGUAGAUUGGGAUAACUCCGGGAAACCGGGGCUAAUACCGAAUGAUCCUUCGGACCUCAUGGUCCGAUGUUGAAAGACGGUUUCGGCUGUCACUACAGGAUGGGCCCGCGGCGCAUUAGCGAGUUGGUGAGGUAACGGCUCACCAAGGCCACGAUGCGUAGCCGACCUGAGAGGGUGAUCGGCCACACUGGGACUGAGACACGGCCCAGACUCCUACGGGAGGCAGCAGUCGGGAAUCUUCCACAAUGGACGAAAGUCUGAUGGAGCAACGCCGCGUGAGUGAAGAAGGUUCUCGGAUCGUAAAACUCUGUUGUGAGGGAAGAACAAGUACCGGAGUAACUGCCGGUGCCUUGACGGUACCUCAUUAGAAAGCCACGGCUAACUACGUGCCAGCAGCCGCCGUAAAAC